rnacentral:rRNA from 1 species
GAUGAACGCUGGCGGCGUGCCUAACACAUGCAAGUCGAGCGGAAAUCGUCGGAGUAUUUAUACAAAGGAUGAUUUUAGCGGCGGACGGGUGAGUAACACGUGAGCAAUCUACCUUCUGCAGGGGAAUAACACUGGGAAACCAGAGCUAAUACCGCAUAUAGUAUCGAGGGGGCAUCCCUUGGAUAUGAAAGGAGCAAUCCGGCAGGAGAUGAGCUCGCGCCCGAUUAGUUAGUUGGUGAGGUAACGGCUCACCAAGGCAACGAUCGGUAGCCGGACUGAGAGGUUGAUCGGCCACAUUGGGACUGAGACACGGCCCAGACUCCUACGGGAGGCAGCAGUGGGGAAUAUUGGGCAAUGGGGGGAACCCUGACCCAGCAACGCCGCGUGAAGGACGAAGGCCUUCGGUUGUAACUUACUUUGUAACAGGGACGGAAACAAAUAGACGGUACCGUCGAAGAACAAGACCACGGCGUAACUAACGUG